rnacentral:lncRNA from 1 species
UCAUGAGAAGAUAAACAAUACGAGCACUCAUCUUUCUAGCAAUUUAAAACAUAAAUAUGAGCUUGUACUUUAUAAUACAACUUGCACUACCCACAGAUUUGUUUUGAUUCUGGUUAAUUAUUAGAUAUUUAAUGCUCACAUAAUUUUAUAAUAUUCUCGAACUUUGAUUUUCGAAAUGAAGACUUCAAGAAGAAGAUGAGCUCCUUGA